CCUACGGGAGGCAGCAGUGGGGAAUAUUGCACAAUGGGGGACACCCUGAUGCAGCGACGCCGCGUGAGUGAUUAAGUAUUUCGGUACGUAACGCUCUAUCAGCAGGGAAGAAAAUGACGGUACCUGACUAAUAAGCCCCCGCUAACUACGUGCCAGCAGCCGCGGUAAUACGUAGGGGUCCAGCGUUAUUCGGAUUUACUGGGUGUAAAGUGCGCGUAGACGGCAGAGCAAGUCUGGAGUGAACUCCCAUGGCUUAACCAUGGAACUGCAUGGGAAUCUGUGCAGCUGGAGUGCAGGAGAGGUAAGCGGAAUUCCUAGUGAAGCGGUAAAAUGCGUAGAUAUAAGGAGGAACACCAGUGGCGAAGGCGACUUACUAGACUGUAACUGACGUUGAUGCUCGAAAGCGUGGGGAGCAAACAGGAUUAGAUACCCCGGUAGUC
rnacentral:rRNA from 1 species